rnacentral:ncRNA from 1 species
CAUCGCCCGUCUAUACUAUGGAUUGAAUGGUUUAGUGAGGUCAUUGGAUUGAUGUUGAUGUAGAGGCUUUGCCGCUCGACUGACGNNNNNNNGACAUAAUUUGACUAUUUAAAGGGAGUAAAAGUCGUAACGAGGUUUCCGUAGGUGAACCUAUCUG